GCUCGGUUCGUCUAUAUGGUAAGACACCAUCCUUACAAGUUGGGGUAGCGGGUUCAAGUCCCUCACUGAGUACCA
rnacentral:tRNA from 2 species